UCAGUCCAAUCAGACCCAUAGGCAGGAUACCUAGUCAACUGUCUGCUCCAGGCCACCUGUGCCCUGAAGUUCAUUCUCAGCUCCAGCUGGCCAAGCUGUCCAGGAACUGUGACAACAUAGCCCAGAACGGUCUGGUCAGCUCCAACUACUUAGUGGAGCUGUGGAAUAAACUGAAGAAGCUUCUCCAUGAUGUCUGUAAACUCCACAAGGAGACUGGUCAGACUUUUGCCUGAUCAAAUAGUAGAAUUUGACCAAAAAGUACCCAAUCCAGCAGGUUCGUGGAGCGAGAUAUCCUCACAUUCAUUGACAAUGCCUUUGUUGUCUCAAUGUUUUGCUUGUUUGACACACAGAGGGAACUGUAUGGCGAUGGAGUAUGUAGGAGUUCCUCAAGACCAACAUCUCUUGAGUUUUUGGAGGAAAUGGUUGAUGACCUACAAGAGAUACUCAGAGAUGGUUUACAUGGUGGAGCCAUCAAAGUGAAAAUCUGUGUUGUCUGUGAUGCACCUGUUUGAGCCCUUGUGAAAGACAUCAAGCAGUAUACAGGUUAUCACCGCUGUGACAAGACAGGAGACAGCUAAAGUGAGAUUGUGCAACAAAUUAUGGAGGAGCCAACCAAGAGACCUGGCUCCACAGCAGACCAACUGUUCAAGUUGAUGUUUUAAAGACUGAAUUUGUGUGUUGUGUUUUUGUGUUACAUUUUACAGUCAAACAAAACAAAACA